GUAGGUGGCAAGCGUUGUCCGGAAUUAUUGGGCGUAAAGGGCGCGCAGGCGGCGUCGUAAGUCGGUCUUAAAAGUGCGGGGCUUAACCCCGUGAGGGGACCGAAACUGCGAUGCUAGAGUAUCGGAGAGGAAAGCGGAAUUCCUAGUGUAGCGGUGAAAUGCGUAGAUAUUAGGAGGAACACCAGUGGCGAAAGCGGCUUCCUGGACGACAACUGACGCUGAGGCGCGAAAGCCAGGGGAGCAAACGGGAUUAGAUACCCCGGUAGUCCUGGCCGUAAACGAUGGAUACUAGGUGUAGGAGGUAUCGACCCCUUCUGUGCCGGAGUUAACGCAAUAAGUAUCCCGCCUGGGGAGU
rnacentral:rRNA from 1 species